rnacentral:rRNA from 1 species
CCUACGGGAGGCAGCAGUAGGGAAUAUUGCUCAAUGGGGGAAACCCUGAAGCAGCAACGCCGCGUGGAGGAUGAAGGUUCUCGGAUUGUAAACUCCUUUUGUUAGAGAAGAUAAUGACGGUAUCUAACGAAUAAGCACCGGCUAACUCCGUGCCAGCAGCCGCGGUACUACGGAGGGUGCAAGCGUUACUCGGAUUCACUGGGCGUAAAGAGCGCGUAGGCGGGAUAGCAAGUCAGAUGUAAAAUCCUAUGGCUUAACCAUAGAACUGCAGUUGAAACUGUUAUUCUAGAGUAUGGGAGUGGUAGGUGGAAUUCUUGGUGUAGGAGUGAAAUGCGUAGAGAUCAAGAGGAAUACUCAUUGCGAAGGCGAGCUGCUAGAACAUAACUGACGCUGAUGCGCGAAAGCGUGGGGAGCAAACAGGAUUAGAUACCCGAGUAGUC